UUUGUCGGUGGCCUAUAGCAGCAGGGAAACGCCCGGACCCAUUCCGAACCCGGAAGCUAAGCCUGCUAACGCUGAUGGUACUGCAACCGGGAGGUUGUGGGAGAGUAAGAAACCGCCGACAC
rnacentral:rRNA from 1 species